CCCCCAAAUUUCAACGUCAACAUUCUAUAAAUAGACAAUAAAAAUAUUACCAUUUACGUAGGUUGAAAUAAAUUUAUUUGCUUAAUUUUAGAAGAAACAUGCAUUUAUUGUUGAUGAAAAAGUGACCGACAACCACUGAACAAAGAAAAUACUAAAUAAAGCAUUUUCGGGGCCGUCCGGGUUUGGUGGUUGUCUGGUUUUGGUGGUCCCAAACCAGUAAUAAAACAAUAUUCAGAUUUACAUGUACGUAUAUAUAAAUUUAUAUUUAGAUAUAUAUUUUGCAUUAAUAAACAUGUAUGUAAAUGUACAUAAAUAAAAUCAAUACUUAAUUUCAGAUGGGACAUCCAUGAUUUACACACCAAUGGUCAUAUGAUGAUUAUCUAAUGUUCAGCUGUCUCUUGUAUCAAGAUGAUACAAGCCACAUUACCAAACCAUGCUGAUGGAACAAACAACGAUAUGAAGGGCGUUGCAUUUCGAAACCCGUUGUGCAUUUCUGAUUUCGGGAUCUACAAGUAAAUAUCAACAUGGCAACAGAUUCUACAACGUGCGUAUUUUGUGCGCAGGAUAUCCAGAAUGGAUACCAAUUGUCACUCUCAGGGAGAAGGGAAGCAACAGUGUUAACCAUGCUAGCGAUCUGAGGAAUUCAAGUAUACAAGUAUACGAACAAUUACAGGCCAAAUUGUGCAUCAAGACUGUAGAAGGGAUUUUAUCCACAAUAGAAACAUUUCAAAUAGUUCCAAUUUUAAGUGUAACCAAGUUAAAAGACAUUUAAGAUCAAAUGCUAACUUUGCUUUAAAGUGUGAUCGCUUGUUCUGUGGUAAGCCUGCUAAAGUUGCAUCUGGUAAACAUAGAUGUUCAUCCUGGUAGAAGUUUUGAUUUUCAGGAAACACAUCGUCGGAACCCACGGUACACAUUCCGUAUACACUACAUUUAAUAUUAUUACCGAUACAUGUAUACGGUAAAUAGCCUGCGUUACCGAGGAUGCAGGAAACAAUACAACUCAAAUGUUCUAAGAGAAACAAUGUGUGGGGAAAUGUUGUUUUAAACAGACUGUUGUCAGUUUUGGAAUUUCGUCAGAUUCGAAGAAUGUAUAUUUCAGAUCAGACAUUGAAAACCCAAAUAGUUUGGCAUAUAUAUUCAAAAGACACCAAAAUAUGAUUGGAAUAGAGAUUUGUUAUCUCCUACCAUUCCUGCACGCUUUCUCUGGUUGCGACAGUUCUUAAAAUAAUGUGUAAAAAUGAAGUGUUCCGGCAAAAUGCUGCAAUAUUUCAUUCUUCAACAAACAAAGAAGAAAUUAUUACAGGUGAUGAAAAUGCCAUGAGGAUAUUAUAUGAUGAAGCUAGGGAGAUAAAUUUGAACAAACUGAGAUUUCACAAAUUUGUAAUCAAACCCAUGUCAAGUUGAUCUGUUAUUCAAGUUCAAAGCAUUCCGCCUACGUCUGACAUUCUUUACCGUCAUAUUUUCAAACACAAACAUGGAUUGGAAAUGAUAAAUUAGAUCCAACUGAAUGGGGAUAGGAACUUCUCGAAGGACUCUUUUACCCACAAAAUCUACACAACCCGCUGCUCCAGAUUUUCUUUUAAAUAUUAUCAGAUGCAAUUGCAAAAAAUGCCACUCUUAGAGAUGUACCUGUCGCAAACAUAACCUUGAAUUUUCGGUUGGUUGUGGAGAAUGUCAUAUUGUAUUAGCUGUUCAAACUGUCGGUCCAUUUCAGAUAUUGAUUUUGCAGACAUGGAGGACUAGAUCUUGUAUCGACGCAAUGCUCUUAGAACUAGUUGUCAAUUUUUACCUGUUUUGUAUUGAAAUGUAUUCAUAUUUAGUGUUAUUAUUGGCAAUGUACAUGCAUCUGGCAUCUUGUUUUUACAUAAGCAAUAGAGGUUUCACUUUAAGUUAUUCAUAUAAAACUUUGCAGACAAAUCUGUUCUAUAUAUUGAACAGUCUCAUAUUCCUCGCGAAGUAAAUACAAAGUAGCUUGUAAUAAAAACAAAAGAUUUAUAAUAAUACUCUGUUUGCUUGCCAUAUGAAGUAGUUCUUUAGUAUUGUAGUUAUACUCUUUUAUCCAGGGUCAAAUUAUACUAAAAUUUAUGCAGGUGUCUAUCACAGAACAAUUAACUUGUACUAGCACCAAACUAUGCGCUAUAACAUAAAUGUAGUAAAAUGUUUGAAACAAUCUAACUCCAAAUGUACAAUAGUAUUGUAUAUUUAGAGUUAGAUUGUAUAUUGAAUACAUACUUAUCAAUGCUUUCUUAUAUUUGCUUGUGUUGCGACACACUGUUUUUUUCUCUAAUUGUCAAUGUCAAAGUUCACCUAUUGUAAAUAAAAAUGUAUUACUAUACUGUCUGAAAUACAGAACGAUAAUUUCAAAUUAAUAGAAGUGGUCUUAUAUGUUGUAGACUGUUAUGUGUUAGUACAAGCAUGACAAUAACCCUACCAUAUACUUAAAGUGAUUUAAGUGUACAUAUCGAUGUGACAAAAAUGUAGUUCUUGUGAAUGAAACAGCCUGUAUAUUCAUGUUCUUUAUAUUUAUUAUCACUACAUUGUUGCUUGCCAAAUUAGGUAGCUCUUCGGUACAUUUAUACAUUUGUAAUAUAGUUUUAUUCCGUGUGUAAUGUCAAAUUUCAACAAGUGACACUUAAAUGUAUAUACUACAAUUUCUCCAUAGACCGGGCAUAGUAUUUUUCAUCUGUAGUUUUGGUAAUUGUAACUCGCUCUUAAUUAUACUUACUUGUUGUUGUUGUUCUUUUUUUUUUUGCUUGAAACAAACAAAUUAUUCAAAAUGCGUUGGAUGUUCAGAAUGUUAGCUAAACAAAAGUGUACCUGAAUUAUUCAACAUUUAUCUAAAACAUAAUUUACAAUACACAUGUAUGUCCAUUUUAAUUCAUAUGAAUACAGUUGACAUAAUUUACAAAGUACUUCUUCAUGCAUAAAUAUGUUAUUAUGUAUUGUUUUUACUGUAAAUAUACAUGGAAUGGAUGAUUUGCUGCUUAUAUAUCGGAAUUUGACUGGUUAAAAAUUUUAACAUAAAGUGGGUGGGGUAAUUUGACACCAGUUUGUCAUAGAAUUGCCCACCAAAAUUUUUUUUUUAAAUUUUAAAUGCAUAAAUUUUUGUAUCAACAUGUACAAAAAUUUGUUUGUAUGAAGUUUGCAUGUAAUAAAUAUGUUUAACUUAUAUAUAGAAGUGUUUUUUUAGUAUCAUCGGAAAUUAACAAAUUACGCCGAUUUUAUAACUGAAAUUUAAGGGUGUCAACUUGAAAGCUAGAAUUAUCACAUUUCCCCUUCAGCAAAAGAGUGCAACUUUUUUCCUAAUAUCAAGCAGAUAUGGUACCAUCAUAAAAUACCAAAACAAAAACUUUUGCAAUUAGUUCUAGGUUAGCUUGAUUUUCGGGCUAAUUUGACUAGACUAUUAUGCUCAGGUCAGUUUCUGAAUAAUUACACUUUUAUGUACUCGUUGUCUCUAAAUAAUAGAAUAUUUACGUAGAUCUACUUUUGUACAGUUCAGUCUCUGAAUAAUGACACACAUGAAUUACAUAAGUUUAAUAUAUUAGAUGUUAAAAAUCGUUUAAGGAAAUUAUAUAAAUCGUAAAACAAAAACAAUUUAUGUCAGAACUAACAUUUUCAUCUCAGUUGAUUUUUUAUAAUCCCCGGACACGGUAUUAAUGUUCUUAAGGCUGUACUGUUUCGAUUGGUUUGCUCAUAAAAUUGAAAAUCCAAUGGUUUUUAAAAAUUUUAAGUAAACAAAUUACGAUAAUUGCAACUUGAAGUGUAAAAUAACACUGUUGUAACUUUUUGUAGUAUCUUAAUGCCCAUUUCGGGUCUUUGUCAAUAUUGCCAAAGCAUCUGCCACCUCUCUUGCACACACAGUCGGGGCAAAUGGCAUACUCUUCACAUUCUACGCACUCUGCGUCGCAGCAGCAACCAAAAGGUCUAAAAAUGAAUAAUCUACAGCAGCAAGGAAAAUCUUGUUUUAUGGCGCAGAAAUCUUUACAUAGGUCAUGACAACACGGUUUGUACUUCUGCUUGCACGAACUGGCACGAAAGGCAUUCUUGAUUGAUUUGAUUAUUGUCAAAACAAUAAGUUUCGUCAUGGCAGUCAAGUCAACCUGACACUGUACGCUAAAUAAGGUUAACAAUAUGGCCUGGGGCAGGUCGUCACAAAGAACACCCAGCACUGUUUCUAUCCAACCAUGUAGCAACUGAAACCCCCUGCAAGCAGGCUCUUUUUCACUCUUAUCUCGCAGUUGGUAUUCUAAGAGUGUUUCCCCGAUCAUGUUAACUAUUUUCAAGCAGGCGUAGGCGGUUCCUAUGCCAACAAAGGCCCCAUAGAUUGAUGUAAGGUCAACGGACCCUUCACUGCAUUGAGACUUCCACGGCGAUUUCCCUUUCAGACUAUUUACUGUUUCAAGCACACUCAACCAGGCUGACAAUUCAAAAUUUCCAACCCACGAGGCGAAUUGCAACCAAUUUAAGCAAACAUCUAGAAGAAUGAAAAGUGCGGAGACUAUACGCUUGAAAAUUAUACCUGCUAAAGAUGGUAUGAUUGUCGGCCCAUCAUCG